GAUGAACGCUGGCGGCGUGCUUAACACAUGCAAGUCGAACGGACCAAACCUGUGCGGCGGACUGAUGAUUCGUCUGAGGUCCAAAGCGUUGGUUUGGUUAGUGGCGAACGGGUGAGUAACACGUAGGUGACCUGCCCCGAAGAGGGGGAUAACUGUUCGAAAGGGCAGCUAAUACCCCAUGUGCUCGGCGAUUCACUUCGUCGAGUAAAGCUCCGGCGCUUCGGGAGGGGCCUGCGGCCGAUUAGCUAGUUGGUGGGGUAAUGGCUCACCAAGGCGAUGAUCGGUAGCUGGUCUGAGAGGACGAUCAGCCACAAUGGCACUGAGAUACGGGCCAUACUCCUACGGGAGGCAGCAGUGAGGAAUAUUGCGCAAUGGGCGAAAGCCUGACGCAGCAACGCCGCGUGGAUGAUGAAGGCCUUCGGGUUGUAAAAUCCUUUUCUGGGGGAAGAGGAAGGACGGUACCCCAGGAAUAAGCGUCGGCUAACUACGUGCCAGCAGCCGCGGUAAAACGUAGACGCGAGCGUUAUCCGGAUUUACUGGGCGUAAAGCGCAUGCAGGCGGCUUCGUAAGUCGGAUGUGAAAUCUCCCGGCUCAACUGGGAGGGUCAUUCGAUACUGCGAGGCUUGAGGACAGGAGAGGGGAGUGGAAUUCCCGGUGUAGUGGUGAAAUGCGUAGAUAUCGGGAGGACACCAGUGGCGAGGCGCUCCCUGGCCUGUUGCUGACGCUAAGAUGCGAAAGCGUGGGGAGCGAACGGGAUUAGAAACCCCGGUAGUCCACGCCGUAAACGAUGCGGACUAGGUGUGGGAGGUAUUGACCCCUUCCGUGCCGCAGUUAACGCGAUAAGUCCGCCGCCUGGGGACUACGGCCGCAAGGCUAAAACUCAAAGGAAUUGACGGGGGCCCGCACAAGCAGCGGAGCGUGUGGUUUAAUUCGAUGCUACACGAAGAACCUUACCUGGGCUUGACAUGCGGGUCGUAGUGAAGCGAAAGCGGAACGAUCCUUCGGGAAGCCCGCACAGGUGCUGCAUGGCUGUCGUCAGCUCGUGCCGUGAGGUGUUAGGUUAAGUCCUGUAACGAGCGCAACCCUUACUGCUAGUUAUACGUGUCUAGCGGGACUGCCUGGAUAAACCAGGAGGAAGGUGGGGAUGACGUCAAGUCAGCAUGGCCUUUAUGUCCAGGGCUACACACACGCUACAAUGGCCGGUACAAUGGGUUGCCAAGCCGCGAGGCGGAGCUAAUCCUCCAAAGCCGGUCUCAGUUCGGAUUGCAGGCUGCAACUCGCCUGCAUGAAGUUGGAGUUGCUAGUAACCGCGCGUCAGCAAUAGUGCGGUGAAUACGUUCCCGGGCCUUGUACACACCGCCCGUCACGUCAUGGGAGUCGGCAACACCUGAAGCCGGUGAGCUAACCGUAAGGAGGCAGCCGUCGAAGGUGGGGUCGGCAACUGGGACG
rnacentral:rRNA from 1 species